GAUGAACGCUGGCGGCGUGCCUAAUACAUGCAAGUCGAGCGAACAGAUGAGGAGCUUGCUCCUCUGACGUUAGCGGCGGACGGGUGAGUAACACGUGGAUAACCUACCUAUAAGACUGGGAUAACUUCGGGAAGCCGGAGCUAAUACCGGAUAAUAUAUUGAACCGCAUGGUUCAAUAGUGAAAGACGGUUUUGCUGUCACUUAUAGAUGGAUCCGCGCCGCAUUAGCUAGUUGGUAAGGUAACGGCUUACCAAGGCAACGAUGCGUAGCCGACCUGAGAGGGUGAUCGGCCACACGGGAACUGAGACACGGUCCAGACUCCUACGGGAGGCAGCAGUAGGGAAUCUGCCGCAAUGGGCGAAAGCCUGACGGAGCAACGCCGCGUGAGUGAUGAAGGUCUUCGGAUCGUAAAACUCUGUUAUUAGGGAAGAACAAAUGUGUAAGUAACUAUGCACGUCUUGACGGUACCUAAUCAGAAAGCCACGGCUAACUACGU
rnacentral:rRNA from 1 species